GACGAACGCUGGCGGCGUGCUUAACACAUGCAAGUCGAACGGGAUCCAAGGGGUUCUUGCACUUUUUGGUGAGAGGGGCGCACGGGUGAGUCACACGUGAGUAACCUGUCCUUUUCUUUGGGAUAAGCAUUCGAAGGGGUGUUUCAUACCAUAUGUUCUGUCUGCCUCGCAUGGGUUGGGUGGGAAAGGCUUUGGCCGGAUUUGGGUGGGCUCGCGGUCUAUCGGGUUGUUUGUGGGGUGAUGGCUUACCAAGGCUUUGACGGGUAGGCGGGCUUAGAGGGCCGGAGAUCACGAUGGGCCUGAGAGACGGCCGAGAACCAUCCGGAAGGCAGCAGUGGGAGAUAGUGGACAAUGGUCGAAAGCCUGAUGAAGCGACGCCGAGCGGGGGAGGAUGGCGUACGGCUUGUAAACGUCUGUUGCUCGGAACAGGGUGUGACAGUGGGUGUGUGAAGGGUAGGGGUAGAUUAGCGCCGGCUAACUACGUG
rnacentral:rRNA from 1 species